AGGACUUCGGAGUCUUUUUCACCCAUAUGCUUGCCAAGAUACAAUCCUAUGGCCUUCCUAUACGCUUAUGUUCAUUUUUUUGAUGAAAAUACUUACUUGACUCUUCUUACUCCGAGAUCAGAUGCCUUCUUUGAUUUGAAAGAUUCAAGGGCCCGCAUUCAGCAUGUUCUAUUGAAAUCAAAUGUCCUUCUCGAAGUCCAAAG